rnacentral:lncRNA from 1 species
GAUCCCUUCAUCCUUUGGAGUGUCCAAGGUGCUUGAAAAAAAGAAGAAGAGAUCAGCCGUCAAAGUUGCUUGCAGGCUUGCACCUCCAAGUCUCUGAUCUACACCAGUCUUCGCAUGGAUUUUCUUGUAGAGGCUGGACAUUUUCAUGUGGCUGUAAGCCACCUGAGGAAUAUCCUUUCCAAGUAUUGAACUAGAAGAAAU